rnacentral:lncRNA from 1 species
GGGGGGGGGGGGGGGGGGGGGGGGGGGGGGGGGGGGGGGGGGGGGGGGGGGGGGGGGGGGGGGGGGGGGGGGGGGGGGGGGGGGGGGGGGGGGGGGGGGGGGGGGGGGGGGAAAAGGUCCCAGAUUCACCAAAAAUCACCCAAAAUUGUCCCAAAAUUACCCAAAAUGAUCCAAGAUUCACAAAAAAUGGUCCCAGAAUCACCCAAAAUCACCCAAAAUGAUCCCAGAUUCACCCAAAAUUCACCCAAAAUCACCCAAAAUCACCCAAAAUCACCCAAAAUGAUCCCAGAUUCACCCAGUUUUUCCCAAAAUCACCCAAAAUGAUCCCAGAAACUGCUCUGGGGGGGGACAGAAACUGCUCUGGGGACACAAACUGCUGGGGGGGGGGGGGGGGGGGGGGGGGGGGGGGGGGGGGGGGGGGGGGGGGGGGGGGGGGGGGGGGGGGGGGGGGGGGGGGGGGGGGGGGGGGG